rnacentral:rRNA from 1 species
CGGGGUGCAGCAGGCGCGAAAACUCUACAAUGCAGGCAACUGCGAUAGGGGAACAUCGAGUGAUCCUCAUAUUGGGGGUCUGUCCACCCGUCUAAAAACGGGUGUUAGCAAGGGCCGGGCAAGACCGGUGCCAGCCGCCGCGGUAAUACCGGCGGCUCGAGUGGUGGCCGAUAUUAUUGAGUCUAAAGGGUCCGUAGCCGGCUUUGCAAGUCUCUCGGGAAAUCCAGCGGCUUAACCGUUGGUCGUCCGGGGGGUACUACAUUGCUUGGGACUGGGAGAGGUAGGAGGUACUCAGGGGGUAGGAGUGAAAUCCUGUAAUCCUUUGGGGACCACCGGUGGCGAAGGCGUCCUACCAGAACAGGUCCGACGGUGAGGGACGAAAGCUAGGGGCACGAACCGGAUUAGAUACCCGGGUAGUCCUAGCCGUAAACGAUGCUCGCUAGGUGUCACAACAGUCGUGAACUGUUGUGGUGCCGUAGGGAAGCCGUGAAGCGAGCCACUUGGGAAGUACGACCGCAAGGUUAAACUUAAAGGAAUCGGCGGGGGAGCA